rnacentral:rRNA from 1 species
AUGAACGCUGGCGGCGUGCCUAAUACAUGCAAGUCGAGCGAACAGACGAGGAGCUUGCUCCUCUGACGUUAGCGGCGGACGGGUGAGUAACACGUGGAUAACCUACCUAUAAGACUGGGAUAACUUCGGGAAACCGGAGCUAAUACCGGAUAAUAUAUUGAACCGCAUGGUUCAAUAGUGAAAGACGGUUUUGCUGUCACUUAUAGAUGGAUCCGCGCCGCAUUAGCUAGUUGGUAAGGUAACGGCUUACCAAGGCAACGAUGCGUAGCCGACCUGAGAGGGUGAUCGGCCACACUGGAACUGAGACACGGUCCAGACUCCUACGGGAGGCAGCAGUAGGGAAUCUUCCGCAAAGGGCGAAAGCCUGACGGAGCAACGCCGCGUGAGUGAUGAAGGUCUUCGGAUCGUAAAACUCUGUUAUUAGGGAAGAACGAAUGUGUAAGUAACUAUGCACGUCUUGACGGUACCUAAUCAGAAAGCCACGGCUAACUACGUG